ACUGGACUUAGGGUCAGAAGGC
rnacentral:miRNA from 2 species